UACAGAGGUCUCAAGCGUUGUUCGGAUUCAUUGGGCGUAAAGGGUGCGUAGGCGGCGCGGUAAGUCGGGUGUGAAAUCUCGGAGCUUAACUCCGAAACUGCAUUCGAUACUGCGGUGCUUGAGGGCUGGAGAGGAGACUGGAAUUCAUGGUGUAGCAGUGAAAUGCGUAGAGAUCAUGAGGAAGACCAGUGGCGAAGGCGGGUCUCUGGACAGUUCCUGACACUGAGACACGAAGGCCAGGGGAGCAAACGGG
rnacentral:rRNA from 1 species